UCUCUCUCUCUCUCUCUCUCUCUCAUUCUCAUGGGGGAGAGAGAAAAGCUUCCACACCUUUCCUAAUCGAAGAAGGCAGGGCAGAAAUUUCCCCACGGUCUCCUUAACGCUCCGAAACCAUGGCCGGCCGCAGGACGUACGGAGCCUGCGGCGAUCCUUCAUCAGUUUGGCGGUGGCGCCUCCGCCUUGACGGCGGCGCGUUCGUCUUAUUUCGGUGCUAUCCUACCUGAGCUUGCGUUAAUUAAUUUCUUAUCCUUCUCAUUUCCUUUUCCUUUCGUUUUUAAUUACUGUUCUUGACCUUGUAAGACCUUUUCUUGAUCUUGUAAGACCUCGUUCUGCAACGUUUUUCUUCGCUUUUUCUUCUGUGAAAAACCUUAUAUUAGUUGUUUCCGAUAUAAGGUUGAAUCCUCGUCCUUCUCCGUCUCCCUUGUCUAUCCCUCCUGAGCUUGAGAGCCUCUCGGAGUUAAAUUGUAUUUACAGGAAUAAAUCGCUUCUUGAAGUUAGGGUUUUGAAAGAGAACGGAUCAA